rnacentral:lncRNA from 1 species
AGUUGCAACUACAUGCAACCAAACAACCCCUAAGUGAAGACAAAAGGAGGAGUCAAGAGGAAAUAAAAAGGCAGAGCUUGGUAAAAACACAAGAGGAGCUCUGAAGAAGAGAGAAGUGGGCCCAUUGCGAUGCCUAAAAACAAAAAGAAAAGAAAAAAAAAGAUUUGAGAGAAAAAAAAGAGAAAGAAAAAAAAAGAAAAAAGACAAAAAAUGAGAAAGAAGAAGAAUUAAAGAGAAAAAAAAGGAGGAUAAAGAGAAAAAGGAGCAAGAAAGUAGAGAAAGCAAAGAUCACGAAAGAAAGAGGAGAUAAAGAAGAGAAAAAGAUGAAGGAAGGAGAAGAAAAAAAGUAAUGAGAGAAGGAAGAAAGAAAAACAACAGAAGAAGAAUUGAUAAUGACGGAGUGAGAAGAGUCAAGAACAAAGAUGGAAAAAUAGCUGAACUACUCUUAAAGACUAAUUCGGUAGUUGAAACCCGACCUUAUGCCUAAGCUACAACUAUAUAUCUCUUAACUUCGG